GGGAUUGCCCUAGUAACGGCGAGUGAAGCGGCAACAGCUCAAAUUUGAAAUCUGGCUCUCUUUGGGGGUCCGAGUUGUAAUUUGCAGAGGAUGCUUUGGCAUUGGCGGCGGUCUAAGUUCCUUGGAACAGGACAUCGCAGAGGGUGAGAAUCCCGUACGUGGGCGCCUGCCUUUGCCGUGUAAAGCUCCUUCGACGAGUCGAGUUGUUUGGGAAUGCAGCUCUAAAUGGGAGGUAAAUUUCUUCUAAAGCUAAAUACCGGCCAGAGACCGAUAGCGCACAAGUAGAGUGAUCGAAAGAUGAAAAGUACUUUGGAAAGAGAGUCAAAAAGCACGUGAAAUUGUUGAAAGGGAAGCGCUUGCAGCCAGACUUGCCCGCAGUUGCUCACCUAGGCUUUGGCCUGGGGCACUCUUCUGCGGGCAGGCCAGCAUCAGUUUGGGCGGUCGGACAAAGGCCUCUGUCAAGUAUCUCCCUUCGGGGUGACCUUAUAGGGGAGGCGUAAUGCGACCAGCCCGGACUGAGGUCCGCGCAUCUGCUAGGAUGCUGGCGUAAUGGCUGUAAGCGGCCCGUCUUGAAACACGGACCAAGGAGUCUAACAUCUAUGCGAGUGUUUGGGUGUCAAGCCCGGGCGCGCAAUGAAAGUGAACGGAGGUGGGAACCCUUUGGGUGCACCAUCGACCGAUCCUGAUGUCUUCGGAUGGAUUUGAGUAAGAGCAUAGCUGUUGGGACCCGAAAGAUGGUGAACUAUGCUUGAAUAGGGUGAAGCCAGAGGAAACUCUGGUGGAGGCUCGCAGCGGUUCUGACGUGCAAAUCGAUCGUCAAAUUUGGGCAUAGGGGCGAAAGACUAAUCGAACCAUC
rnacentral:rRNA from 1 species